AUUGAACGCUGGCGGCAGGCCUAACACAUGCAAGUCGAACGGUAACAGGAAGCAUCUUUCUGCUUUUCUAGCGGCGGACGGACGGGUGAGUAAUGUGUGGGAAACUGCCUGAUGUGGGGUGAUAACUAGUGGAAACGGUAGCUAAUACCUCGUAGCUUCUCAAGACCAGAGAGGGUUGCCUUAGUGCCUCUGGCCAUCGUAUGUUCCCGGAUGGUAUUAGCUAGUAGGUGGGGUAACGUCUCACCUAGGCGACGAUCCCGAGCGGGUCUGAGAGGAUGACAAGCCACACUGGAACUGAGACACGGUCAAGACUACUACGGGAGGCAGCAGUGGGGAAUAUUGGACAAUGGGCGCAAGCCUGAUGCAGCCAUGCCGAGUGUAUGAAGAAGGCCUUCGGGUUGUAAAGUACUCCCAGCGGGGAGGAAGGGAGUAAAGUUAAUACCUUUGCUCAUUGACGUUACCCGCAGAAGAAGCACCGGCUAACUACGUG
rnacentral:rRNA from 1 species